UGCGCACACCCCUCUCUUUCCUCGGAGGGAGGACUCCGCCGCGGCAGUGGGUGCUCGCAGCGCCGCCCGGGCCGUCACCAUGGUGAAGCUGAGCAAAGAGGCCAAGCAGAGGCUGCAGCAGCUCUUCAAGGGCGGCCAGUUCGCCAUCCGCUGGGGCUUUAUCCCUCUCGUGAUUUACCUGGGAUUUAAGAGGGGUGCAGAUCCUGGAAUGCCUGAACCAACUGUUUUGAGCUUACUUUGGGGAUAAAGGACUGUUUGGUCAUCUGGAUUUGGAAGCAAUCAAUGGACAGUAACAACAUGGAAGGUGUGCCCUCUGGCUGGCAUAAGAGAUGGGACAUCGUUCACACGUUCACCAAUUGAAUGGCACAGGGCUCUUCUCGGAUGCAUCUGUGGCAGAGUGGAGCCUCUACUGACUGAUUUAUGGGGGACUGGAUCAAAAUAAAUAUUUUUUAACAAUGUUA